UAUUUCAGAAUCAGGCCGGGGCAAUGACGUAUUGCCCCGCUAACUCGGUCGUACAUCCAGCCGGUUGCCUGAUUCCUUGCAUUGAAGCGAUGUACGGAGUUUAUAGAGC
rnacentral:ncRNA from 1 species